UACGUAGGCAGCGAGCGUUGUUCGGAGUUACUGGGCGUAAAGGGUGUGUAGGCGGUUGUUUAAGUUUGGUGUGAAAUCUCCCGGCUCAACUGGGAGGGUGCGCCGAAUACUGAAUGACUUGGAGUGCGGGAGAGGUGAGUGGAAUUCCUGGUGUAGCGGUGAAAUGCGUAGAUAUCAGGAGGAACACCGGUGGUGUAGACGGCUCACUGGACCGUAACUGACGCUGAGACACGAAAGCCAGGGGAGCAAACGGG
rnacentral:rRNA from 1 species